rnacentral:rRNA from 1 species
CCUACGGGUGGCAGCAGUCGAGAAUCAUUCACAAUGGGGGAAACCCUGAUGGUGCGACGCCGCGUGGGGGAAUGAAGGUCUUCGGAUUGUAAACCCCUGUCAUGUGGGAGCAAAUUAAAAAGAUAGUACCACAAGAGGAAGAGACGGCUAACUCUGUGCCAGCAGCCGCGGUAAUACAGGGGUCUCAAGCGUUGUUCGGAAUCACUGGGCGUAAAGCGUGCGUAGGCUGUUUCGUAAGUCGUGUGUGAAAGGCGCGGGCUCAACCCCCGGACGGCACAUGAUACUGCGAGACUAGAGUGAUGGAGAGGGAACCGGAAUUCUCGGUGUAGCAGUGAAAUGCGUAGAUAUCAGGAGGAACACUCGUGGCGAAGGCGGGUUCCUGGACAUUAACUGACGCUGAGGCACGAAGGCGAGGGGAGCGAAAGGGAUUAGAUACCCCAGUAGUC